rnacentral:rRNA from 1 species
GGGAAGAUAAUGACGGUACCAGGAGGAAGCUCCGGCUAACUACGUGCCAGCAGCCGCGGUAAUACGUAGGGAGCAAGCGUUGUCCGGAUUUACUGGGUGUAAAGGGUGCGUAGGCGGCUCUUCAAGUCAGGCGUGAAAUAUAUGGGCUUAACCCAUAGACUGCGUUUGAAACUGUGGAGCUUGAGUGAAGUAGAGGUAGGCGGAAUUCCCGGUGUAGCGGUGAAAUGCGUAGAGAUCGGGAGGAACACCAGUGGCGAAGGCGGCCUACUGGGCUUUAACUGACGCUGAGGCACGAAAGCAUGGGUAGCAAACAGGAUUAGAUACCCUGGUAGUCCAUGCCGUAAACGAUGAUUACUAGGUGUGGGGGGUCUGACCCCUUCCGUGCCGGAGUUAACACAAUAAGUAAUCCACCUGGGGAGUACGACCGCAAGGUUGAAACUCAAAGGAAUUGACGGGGGCCCGCACAAGCAGUGGAGUAUGUGGUUUAAUUCGAAGCAACGCGAAGAACCUUACCAGCUCUUGAC